UACCGUUUCUCUCCGGAUCUGUACUGGAUGCUGUGACACAGAGUUCCGUUCCCGCUCGUGUCUAUGCAGUUGGAAUCACGUGAGUACUUGGAGGAAUAGUCUGGAGGUUUAGAGCACUGCAUGACUAUCAGGCCGAUUAUACUGAAUACAAAAAGCGCUGACACGGACCCCAGCGAGAUCAUCAGAUACAAGGUGAUGUUGUUCUCCUCUUCCUUCUUUACUGAGCGUUUAGUAUCAGAAGAUGCAAACGCCUCUUUGGUCUCCACUGCGUUUAUGACCACGGUUGCUGUAGCUGACAGUGAGAUGUUUCCGUUGU